rnacentral:rRNA from 1 species
AUUGAACGCUGGCGGCAGGCCUAACACAUGCAAGUCGAACGAGUGGCGGACGGGUGGGUAAUGUCUGGGAACCUGCGUGAUGGAGGGGGAUAACUACUGGAAACGGUAGCAAAUACCGCAUACCAUCGGAUGUGCCCAGAUGGGAUUAGCUAGUGGGUGGGGUAAAGGCUCACCUAGGCGACGAUCCCUAGCUGGUCUGAGAGGCUGACCAGCCACACUGGAACUGAGACACGGUCCAGACUCCUACGGGAGGCAGCAGUGGGGAAUAUUGCACAAUGGGCGCAAGCCUGAUACAGCCAUGCCGCGUGUAUGAAGAAGGCCUUCGGGUUGUAAAGUACUUUCAGCGGGGAGGCGUUACCCGCAGAAGAAGCACCGGCUAACUCCGUGCCAGCAGCCGCGGUAAUUC